ensembl:lncRNA
AGAGAAUGUGUCUUGAUUUAAGAAAUGGGACCCUGCAGAAAAAAAUUAUCUGAGACUUCCUUGAGUCCCAAGGUAUCACGUUGCACUGGGCAACCUGAUGAAUAAAGUUAAUGCACUAGAAGGCACGAAGGAACCUUGUGAACAGAAAGCUACAUUCAGUUCGUUGCUAUCAGGCAACAGAAGUGAACAAUGAAGAAAGACAACAAGAAAGAAAGGACAGAACUCUGCUGACUGAGCUAUUUGCCAGAAGCACAAAACAUCAUGAGCUCCUUCCCCUCCUCCUGUUCCAGCUGUAAUCUACGUGAGAAAGGCCUGGCCACCCACCUUCUUGCAGGAAAGGUUUCAUGCUUGUGAAUGCCAAGAAAAGAGGGAGGCACCUUUCUUCAGAAUUAGCUGCCUAAGCCUGACUGAGAGACAAAACAGGAUGAAAGACUUCCUACAUCCUUAGCUUCUCUACUCAGCUCCUUUCUUAGUGUCCUAGGUUAACAUUCCUGUCCCCUCCCUACACUCUGGGCAGACAACUCUAGAUGCCUAUACCAGAAUGGACAGCACAGCACCAACCCAGGAAGCCCGAUGUUAACCUCAGAGGUUCUCCAGCAGUGCAAGUUUCUGAAUUGUCUCUGAUUAUAAGGACUGUAGCGUAUGAAUAAGAAAACUUCAACAUCUUCAAGACAUGACAGAUAAAUAUCUUCCUUUGGGUACUGG